CCUACGGGGGGCUGCAGUGGGGAAUAUUGCACAAUGGGGGAAACCCUGAUGCAGCAACGCCGCGUGAGCGAUGAAGGCCUUCGGGUCGUAAAGCUCUGUCCUAAGGGAAGAAUACUGACGGUACCUUAGGAGGAAGCCCCGGCUAACUACGUGCCAGCAGCCGCGGUAAUACGUAGGGGGCUAGCGUUAUCCGGAAUUACUGGGCGUAAAGGGUGCGUAGGCGGCCCUUCAAGUCAGAGGUGAAAGGCUACGGCUCAACCGUAGUAAGCCUUUGAAACUGCGGGGCUAGAGUGCAGGAGAGGGGAGUGGAAUCCACAGUGUAGCGGGGAAAUGCGUAGAUAUUAGGAGGAACACCAUCUGCGAAGGCGGCACUCUGGACUCUAACUGCCUCUGAGGUACGAAAGCGUGGGGGGCGAACAGGAUUAGAUACCCUUGUAGUC
rnacentral:rRNA from 1 species